CGGUUCGAUCCGGGUUCUCUCCAUAGUUUGCACGUCUCAGUGUCCUUGAGACCCUGAAGCUUCACAGCAGCUCACUGCUCCUUAAUCACUAAGUGGUGUUGACGAACCGACCGAAGAGCCGGUUAAAUGACCCGAUUCGUGUACCUGAAGCGGGAGAAUCGGGUGCCAAACGUCCAUGAACCGACUCACUCCGGCUUUCAACCACUCAUUCGUGCCCGCGCUUCAGUGAGCUCGAGCGCGCGAUCGCUGGUCUUCUUCUGCGAGUCGCGGGCUGAUCCAGCUCACCAGCGCCUCCACUGGAGCGGUGGAACAAUCAACCAGGAAGUGGGCCGCCUUGAUCGCGCACGACCGAACCGUAAGAGACUCCUGUACAGUUGGUGGCGGUGUACUGCAGAGAUAGUCGUCUACCAAGAAACAGAAGAAGAAGAAAAGAACCCGCGACAACCGAGUUGAACCGAGUUGUUGAAGCGCGGUUGCGGUGUGACCGUGAGACUCAAUCACUGAAUGCUGUACUACUAACGUGGAGAGACGAUCCCAUGAGCCAUUGUGGAGACGCCUGCUGCUCAGAUAGCAGGAGGCCAGCAGGCGGAGGCCUCGCCCCCCCCUGAGUGGAGAGUCUCCACCUCCUCUUCCAGCCAAGCCGAGGCCUGCUAUGAAAACGUGGAGGCGCCCCGGCCCCCCGCCAGACCAGCAGCGCCAUCGACCACCCAAGAGGGAGGAGACAAGGUCACCUGAUGGUGAUGGUGAUGGCGGCGUGCGUACGGAACGACGCGAGGCGGAGCGAGAGGCACCGGGCUCCCAGAGAGCCUCCCCGUACCUCACCGAGCAGCUGAGUCUGAAAUGUCCUCAGAGGACACCUACGAGUCCUCCUUUAGUCCAGGACUGCAUUUGGUCUACAUUAUUUGAUUUAGCAGUUUAUGGAACUUAAUUAAAUGUCUACUUGUUAGAAAUAAAACCUGUUAUCUUACCACAGAGUAUCACACGUCUGUAGAAGCGGAUGAGCCCUGGUGUGAACGUGGUCAUGUGACACCACACAACCAACAGCAACAUGUCUUUUUUUAUGUGUGAAGGGGAACAGGAAAGGUUAUUCUGAGAAGCCUUGUGCUUCUUCUUCUCACGCUCUGACUGCAGAGUUUUCUCUAAAGCACAAAGUAUCAAAAGUUUAUUUCAUUUAAUCCUUUUGUUUUCUUUUAUUUCACCUUUUUCUUUUUUAAAUCAGCGUCACUAGAACCGAUUCUUUUGUUAAAACAUUCAGCUGUGAGGUGUUUGUUGGAGUUUGAGUCUAAAAUCCAAAAGGCCGCAUUAAAGUCACUGUUGAUAAAAUAUGUCAAUGUCACGACUACCAGAACAAACAUGAUUAAAUUAGUUAAUGUAUGAAUUGUUGAUCACGGGUCAUUCAUCCAGGUUCAUAAGAAGGCGGUUUAUGUGUUUAUCAUCUUUCACUG
ensembl:lncRNA